rnacentral:rRNA from 1 species
AGUCAAGAAAAUUAAUUAAAUAACUUUACUUACAAAUCCACCUUCAAUUUAAAUUUAAAAUUAAAUAUUCGUAUAAAUAAUAUUAUUGUAACCCAUUAGUACUCCAGACAUAAGCUUCACCUUGACCUGACAUAAUUGUAUUUAACAAUUAAGAAAAUUUAUUCUACAAAAAUAUUCUUAUGACGGAGGUAUAAAAACUGAAAACUAGUCUAAGUGGAUAAAAUCGUGGAAUAUCGAUUAUACAACAGGUUCCUCUGAAUAGAAUAAAAUACCGCCAAAUUCUUUGGGUUUCAAGAACCUAACAAUUACUACCCAAGUGAAAAAU